ACUUCUGCAUUCGUGUGUGUUUCAUCGUGUCGAGUUUUGUUCAUGCGGUCGAGCUGCCUGGCAUGUUACUGACCGUAAGAGAAAGCUCUUCAAUCGGUAUUAUACGCGGGUACCGGGCGAACAGUCACCAGAUGCCGGCCGUGCGAUUCCAAUAUCUGCGACUCCUUUGUUCAGUGAACACCUUCAAACGUUUCUGCACGUCAGUGAGUAGCAGUGCCGCAAUCCUUUCUCGACAACGCGCUCUGUGGCCCUGGAAAAUGCCUUGACGUUCGGGGAUGCCGGGCGCGGGUAGCUUGGCCAUUCCUCGCUUGGUGGAUCGCUUGAAAACCGACUGUCAGCCUGCAGUGUACGCCGCCGGCGUGCUUUCUUGCCAGAGAUAACAAACAGCAGUGCCACGACUAACAGUGGAGUGCUGACCACGCAGUCCAGAAGGUGGCCGAGGCAAGCAUGCCAUAAGAGGUGCUUAUUCAGGCAGAAGAAAUAAGCAUCUGUAGCCAACGUAAAGGAAGCAUCUUCAAAAAGCAGUGCUACAAGGAUGUGAGCAGCAGUUUCCCUUCAACGAACGGGUCAAAUUCAUGGAAGCCAUGUGCCUGCUGCUUCUGGCCUACACAAACAUGCAGCCACCAUAGUAAAGUUCUUACAAAGACAUUCUACACAAACUUGCCCAAAGGCGGAAGGAAGGCACGCACAGAUGGACACAGAAAUCAUGGGGCUGCCACAGAAGC